GACGAACGCUGGCGGCGUGCUUAACACAUGCAAGUCGAACGGAAAGGCCCCUUUGGGGGUACUCGAGUGGCGAACGGGGGAGUAACACGUGAGUAACCUGCCCUUGACUUCGGGAUAACUUCAGGAAACUGGGGCUAAUACCGGAUAGAAAUCCUUGCUGCAUGGUGGGGGUUGGAAAGCUUCGGCGGGUUUGGAUGGACUCGCGGCCUAUCGGCUUGUUGGUGGGGUAGUGGCUUACCAAGGCGUUGACGGGUAGCCGGCCUGAGAGGGUGACCGGCCACACUGGGACUGAGAUACGGCCCAGGCGCCUACGGGAGGCAGCAGUGGGGAAUCUUGCACCAUGGGCGGCAGCCGGGUGCAGCAGCGCCGCGGGCGGGAUGACGGCCUUCGGGUUGUAAACCGCUUUCAGCAGGGGCGAAGCUUGUGGUGACGGUACCUGCAGAAGAAGCACCGGCUAACUACGUG
rnacentral:rRNA from 1 species